CAGUGCGUCAGCAUUGUUCAGCCAGGACAUCUCUGUUAAGAUGGCGUCUGAUUUUCUCAUGAAGCUGUCAGGAUCUCCUCAAUUAAAGAAGAGUAUAAGCUUUUGCUUCAAAGUUGACAACAUUUGGCAACUGCCCUCAUUCCUUAUAAUAAAUGGAAGAUAAGCAGUAUCCAGAACUCACAAUAUGCCCUAAAGCCAUCUGUAAUUCUGUGUCAACUACUUGGUUAUUACUCAGUUAACUGUUAUUUGGGAAAUGUAUUUAAUCUCUCUAGGUCUGAGAUCUCUCAUCUGCAAAAUGGGGAUAAUACUAGUGCCUACCUCAAAGGGUGGCUGUGAGAAUUAGAUAAAUUAAUACAGGUAAAUACUUGGUGUGUUACCCAGCUCAUGUUAUGUGCUCAAUAAAUGAUAGAUCUAGCUCUAUCCAUAUGUAUCUA
rnacentral:lncRNA from 10 species